AAAGAUGCUUGUUUCUGUUGGCGUGAUGUGUGAAGAAACCAGCUGGCUGUACCCGACUCCGAUAGCGUGUCUCGAGUGAGCCAUGUUUCCGUGAAGCAAAGAACGUUAUAGUCUGUUAUGUCUCUCUGGAAUGCUACCCUUGCUCGGAUUUCAUCUACCUUGUUGUCAAGAGACUGGACAUUGGCAAGUAAUAUGCUCGGGAGCGGUGGGCGAUGUGCCCGUCUCCGGAGCCUGACCAGAAGACUACUUCUUCUGCCCCUUUUACAGCAUCGUUGUUUUGGUUCGCCGGCUGGGAUCCGAUCCAUUGUUCUGUGUGGUGGGCAAAACAGAGGAUCCGCUUCGGGAAAGUCGUAUUCCUGGUCGUAAUGAUGUUUGAUAAAGUGCACAGCUGGGUGCCAAACUGAUCCCCUGGACAUGAACGGAUGCUGGAACCUACCAGAAGGAGUAAAGGUCCUCCCAGUUAACACCACCUCGAAAGAUUGCCUGCUGCAGUUGUUCAAGAGAUGGGUGGGAGGGGCCCUCAUCAGUAUCUUGCAGACCAGCCCUCGCAGUGAGCAUUCCUAUGAAUUUGAUCAGUCAGCCACAUAUUGGCAAGUAUCCGUCCAGAAACAUUCACUUGUCAGUAUCAACAACUUUCACAGGCUCAUCAUUUGUACAAAUACAGAAGGUAAACCACUUCAUUCCUUUGAUACAUUUGAAAACCCAAUUGGGAAACAUUUAUCUAUACUGACAUUAUUUGGUUCUUAUUUUCUACUUCUUAGAUGCAUAUGAAGCCCAUGGGCAUAAUGUAGCCUGGUGGAACCAGUCUGAUUGCUGUGUUCACCAUUCUAUUUCACUUGACAUUUGAUGAUAUCUGAAGUGAAAUAGAAAGGUGAACGCAGCGAUCAGGUUGGUUCCACCAGGCUAAUCUUAACCAUUAUUGAUAAUGCAACCAGUGCUCUGUGUGUGCGCAUGCGACCGACCUGACGGACGACCGACCGAGGAGCUGAUCUACGCUGCUAUGCCCAUCAAUGGGGCUCUGGCAAAGACCUCACCUCUUGCCUCCUCACCAACGGUUGUCGAUGGGGAGAACAGAAUUAGAUACCUGUAUGGAGGCAGCACUUUGGAGACUUUCUAUGGUGGUACUACUGAUUUCUGACUAUAACCGGUUACAACAAACCCAAACCAACUCAGGGCGAUAGAACAACAUGUCACAGUUGGUUACAUAGUGUAACGGCGUCACCGGCCUGAAUCUAAUCCUACACCUGUAGGGAUAUUAGUUCUGGGAUUUUUCUCCCGGGAAAGAUCUAACAGCGGACAUGAGGAGAGAUGAGACAAAACCAUCCAGUUAUAGAAUAUUGUGUUGUAGGACAGCUGAGCUGACUGAAGACCUCGGGCAUUCAACUCGCAGUAGUCGAUAUCAUUUCCACGGUAACAUGUAUUUACAUGACAUGAUGAAACGUUGAAACUAAUUUGCAAGCUACUUUGGUAGCAAGGCGUUGUAGAACGAGUGUCUUAUGAAACACAUUCCAGACACUGGCUCUUGCCAUGUUGCAAUAACUGAUUUUGACAGCGACAUAUCAGCUAGGAGGAUAACCAGCUGCAGCUAUUAAAAAGCUAUGCUAGCUAGCUGCUGUCAGCUUGGCUAAACACAAGCAAAAGUGUAAAGUACUUAAGUAAAAAUACUUUAAUGUACUACUUAAGUUGUUUUUUGGGGUAUCUGUAGUUUACUUUACUAUUUAUAUUUUUGAGAACUUUUCUUUUUACUCCACUACAUUUCUAUAGAAAAUAUACUUUUUACUCCCAUACAUUUUCCCUGACACCCAAAAGUACUUGUUACAUUUCGAAUGCUCAGGCAGGACAAUAUGGUCCAAUUCACACCUAUCAAUAUAACGCAUUGUCAUCCCUUCUUCCUCUGAUCUGGUGGACUCACUAAACACAAAUACUGCAUUUGUAAAUUAUGUCUGAGUGUUGGAGUGUACCCCUGGCUGUCCGUAAAUAAAAAAUGUAAUAAACAA